CCUCUCAUAGGAUGGGUAUUGGAGGUUAAGUUGUCUUGGAUUUGCCAUCAGGGCAUAGGAAAGAAGGUGAGGAAAAAGUUGCGGCGUCUUCUCUGGUGUGCUACGAUUUACUUCAUUUGGCAUGAGCGUAAUCAUCGUCUUCAUGGAGGUCAAGUUCGUGAGGCUAUGAUUAUUUUCCAGCUCAUUCGAUUGUGCAUUCGGGCUCGUGCUGCUUCUUGAUCGGAAGAUGUUCAUGGUUUUAUUUAGUGUGCUUUUAUUUUCUGCUUGUCCCCGAGCUGUGGGGUUUUAUUUGUCAUUGUUAUUUCUUUGGUUUAGCUUAUUUUUCUUCUCUUAUUCCGUUUGAUCUGGAUAGUGUCGUUUUCUAGACUUCUAAUUUUUAUUUUGUCUGCGAUGAUAUUUCAUAUUCUUAAUUGGUUUUUUGUUUUUGUGCUUGUCCCCGGGCCGUGGGAUUUUAUCGUUAUCUUUAGGAUGUCGUUUGGUUUUUACUUAUCUUCUCAGUGUGAGCAUUUUCCGCUUUUGUGCCUUGACCUCAGACUAUGAGGUCCUCCUUGUGGUUCUAUAAUAUUAUCAUUACCUUUUCAAAAAAAAAAAAAAAAAAAAACUAACGAAAAGAACCAAGCAAUUGAAAUAGAAAAGUAGGAAAUGAAAUAUUGCAAGCAUAUAAAGCACAUAUCAAUAACAGAAUACCGAACGAGCGACUGUCGAUCAGGUUGAAUUUGUGUGUCAUGUAACUCAUUCGACUAAAGGUCAUUCUUCAACACCUUCCUUUUUCGAUCAUGUUUUGGACUUGUAUUAUACAUCUUGAGUUGCCACACCAUGGCGACACUACGCCCAUUCUUACUUUUCUCAUUGUUUCGGUUGACAUCCAAAUAAUGUUUUAGUUUUCAGACACAUUUACCUUCUUUUUCUUUUUCUUCGCCAUCUUCAAUUUAAAUUAAUGUUAGCUCAUUUAAAUGAAAUAAACUCAAAAAGAAAAAAAAUCAACAAGAAUAAAGAUGAAUUUGGACGAGUGGACAAGUAACUUUAGCUUUAAGCAUCAAAAUACCAACCUCUUUUCAGAAAGUAAAUAUGUGCUUUUUUCUUUCUUUUUAUUCAUUGUUUUUCUACAUUUUGAUAGAAUAAUCGAACAUUUGUUAGAGAAGAAAUCAAGAAAUAAGACGUUACGUUUCUUCUCUUUCUAAUGCGUACGUGAAGUGAACAAACCAACCAAAACAAAAUAAAACAAUCGACACCUGAUUUGGAAAUUAAGCGAGACUACCACAGCUAAAAAGGGUUAUGAGUCAACAACGAAGGAAAGUGUGGAACUUCGAGUAGACUACAAGUCAUAAUCUAUCUGGGGUUUCGAAAAGGGGUUUUAGAAGAAGAUGAUUGAAUAUUUGCGAGGAACAAGGGUCGUUUCAAUUUGGACGAAGAAAUUCUAAGGUUGGGAGAAAAAAGAUUUUUGCAUCGAAGAUAGUGUCAAAUUUGGAGUUUAAAUAGAAAGUAAUAACAAGUUAGGGUGAACUUCACGUGCGUCCUCUGCCACCGGUGAAACGAACUCGCCAGUACUACUGGCGUUUGUCUCUCUAAAUAACUCGACACAGUUCACUAGGCUAUUGCGUGUUAUUGUGAGCUCAACUUGUCGUUGAAGGAACGACUUAGAAUCGAUCUUGUGGUUGUAAAGCCGUUUCGCUCUAGCAGCCUUAAAAGCACUUGAUUGCUCCUUCAAUCAGACAAAGUGUAAUUAAAAUGUUAUAUCCAAACAAAAAUUAAAUGAAUUACCGUUAAUUGAUUUUUAAGGUAGAUGUGAUAUAAAUCACCUGAAACUGUCGAGUCAUAUAGUGGUCACAAAGAAAGUGCUAAUUUGGCACUCGAUUGACCAAUAUGGGCGGUGGGUCUAUAAAAUUCAUUUUCUAAAAAACAUACAUUACACAUAGAUUAUAUAAUAUCAAGAUACAAUCUCAAAUUUACACAUCCAAUCUCAAACUUACAUAUAAAAAUUCAUACAUUUUUAUAUAAAAACAUACAUAAUAUAUUACACAUGCAUACAUCUAUUGCAUGGAUUACACGUACAAAAUUACAUAAUAGAUUACAAAAAAUACAAUGAAAUUCAAACUACACAUGCAUACAUUUCAAACUAUACAUAUUAAAACAUACAUAAUAUAUUGCACAUUCUUACAUUUCAAACUAUAUAAGUUUCAAAACAAAAAAAUAGACAAAAUUUUAUACCAAGCAAAUCAACAAUGGAGGACGAGGGUGGAGCAUGGAGCGGUGGGUGAUGGACGAGCGACGGCGAACAAUAGCGACGGACGAGCGGUGACUCUUCUUCUUCUCCCCUCUCUUUCUCUUCUUCUUUUCUUUUCUCUUUCGCAGUCUCUGUGUUAUGUGUUUACAUAACAAAUAGGGAAAGGAAAGACCGACACAACAUGAAAACGUCGACAUUUCCAGUCUUUCUCUGACAUUUCACUAAUGGUCGUAGUAAUUAAUGUGUAGACCUUUGUCGUCGUGGUCAAUGCUGACAUGGGCAAAGGUUUAAUUAUAAAAUUCAAUUUUAACAUUUGCCAACGUACGGAUAAAUCCUCCAGACUCCGGACGGAUUCAAACCUUUGCCGACGUGGUGUGUAAGAACGUCGGCAAAAGUCCAACCAUAAAACUUACUUUAUAACUUUCUCCGAUGUCCUCUGUGUCUGCGUCGAGGAGAGUGAAAUAAAAAAUUCAAUUUUUAUUUAUCCCUAACGUGGUUUACGUUUGCGUUGGCCUUGUCACCUUAUUCCAACGUGUAUUUCACGACGUUGACGUUUCCUCUCAUUGUCGGCAUUGUUUACGACAUCAAAAUAAUCCAUUUUAUUGUAGUGAUUUCUUAGUUUUCUAUGGAUCAAUUAUUUUUUCAUAAAUAAUCUUUUUUUUGGUUUCUAUGGUAAAAAUGAUGGGUUGGAAGGCAUGAAUUGUCACAUUUAUAUUUAUUUUAUCAUUAACAUUUAAGUUUAAUCACUAACCACAUCACAACAUAAAAAUAAAUAUAAAUGUGAUAAAUUCAUAAUUCUUCCUAAACAAGAUUAAAAAACAAUUUAGUUACGACUUAUAUUUAUUACUAUUAAUCUAUCCAUGAAAUUGGAUUACCAUGACACCAAUUUUGCUAAUUUCAAUGCUUUAGGAUUUAAUGAUGGUGCAAGUUGGGCAUUUGACUCAUUAUUUGUCCCAAAAGUUUCUUGCAAGGCUUUAACCCUUAAACCCACAAUUUCUCCCUCGCGACACCUACUCCACGCUGCGACCUCUUGAACGCGACUCCUUCUGCACGCCAGUGACCAGCUCGCAACAAACAGACAGCGGCGCACCAUCGGAGCGGGUUCUGUUCUGUAAAAAGUCCUCUUCUCUCCCGUUACCAGCUACUGCAGACCUCCCCGCCGCACGCUUCCCUCUCAGCUGCCACAGUCUCUGCCACCCACGAACUCACCGCCGCUCCCUCCAUCAGGCACUUAUUUCGGUCGUGUUGUUAGCUUACUCCGAAACAGAAACUGUGGUUCAGCUCCUAACGCCCGGCGUUCGUGGUCGCGCCGCUGCUCAUUCUUAGAAGAAAAUCACAUAACCAAUUCGUUUGAACUGAUUUUAUAUCCUCCCAAAUUUAAGGGUUCGAAACAGGGGAUAGUCUGUCCAUGGCCGCAGAAUCAACGCAGUCUACGUCUUCUCAAAAGAGAAGGCUAAAGAGGAAGAAAACCCAGAAAGACCCAGAAUUCGAACGUCUCGAUUCACUCCCGUGGAACUCAUCAAUCCCUAUCGACGACACUUUAUCUGCAUUUAUUGGUUCCAAUGAUCUCGAAGGAGGUUUGUACUUGUUUGUUCGUUCUUCUGUAUGCUUUGCUUUAGAGGUUUUCGUUAUAUUUGUGUGCAUUCUAAACCAAUACUGUUGUGUCUGUGACCAUUACUUUCUGCAGUCUUCAAAUGUAUGUAUCUACAUCGUUUGUUUAUUGUUACAUGACCUGAACAGGUUUCUUCAUCUUGUCAAGUUAUUAUUCAGUUUAUAGUUUUAUGCAUUUUUUUUUAUCGGCAGUGCUGAAAAAUAAUUGGGAUGGGCAUUGAAUAUAUAUAUAUUUUUAUUGGCUUGACACAUAUUAUUGAUGCUGAACGAGAAUUUAUGUUUGUGGGGUUUUGGGGUUUUACUGUUCAAUCAAAUCCUUUAGUAAUCAGUACAAAUAUUGCAAUAUACUAUAGGAUUUCUUUCCCUUGAGGAGAUUGACGAAGCUGAGUAUGGCAUGGUGAUUCCUGAACCUGACACAAGGAAACACAAAUUGAUACCAAAAGCCAGUGGAAAUACAAGGAAAGAGGAGCAAAACAAUGCUGAUUACUGUGAGGAUGCAUCAAGAGGUAGCAAUGAUAGUAUUGAUAAGGAAGCCGCGGGGCACAAUGUUAAUACGAAAACUAGCAAAAAAGGGAAAAAGGAGAAGAAGAAAAAGAAGAAAAAAAAGGUCAUUCAUGAAGUCCCAACGGCAGAGAAAGAUGUGGCUAUAGAUAUUGGUGGCAAUGAUAAUGAUGGGAUUGAGACAGAGAUUGGAGAUGAAAUGGACGAUGAUGAUCAUUUGGAGACGGAGAAGAAGCAACAAAAGAAAGAAAAAGAAACAAAGGACCAUGGAAUUGGUUGGUAUUAUUAUCAUAUAUAAUUUUGUGGAGCAUCAUAUUCUUUGUUUUUUGUACAGCAUUUGAUCAUUAAAUAUUGUUAUUAUUAUUUAUUCAUUGAAAUUUGUUAUGUAUUAUUCAGGGAGAAAAUAUAUUUAUUUGAUAUUUGUGAUUUUGAGGUUAUAAUUUGAUCAUUUGACCUCUUUUUGGAAGAGUGACUUCAAUGAGAACAUUUUUUCUUUUGGAGGUGGGAACUACUAAUGAGGUUUCAUUGUUGGAAGAAAUGUACAAAAACGAUAGUGAACUACCAAACUACCAUAGGUAGAUUACAAAAAGACCUAAACAAAAACCAAGUGACUAAGGUAGAAAGUCUCUAAAGGAGGGGUGUACUUACAUCAGUAGAUAGACAAAGCCCAAAUUCCACAACCUUUCAAGAAAAGGUAAGCUUAUCAAUGUUGAAAAUCCAGUUGUUCCUUUAUCCCCAAAGGUUCCAAAGAAAAAUUCUAUUCUUAUAAAGCCAUAUAGUAACUUUUGUUUAUUAGAAAGGAUGUGCCAUAGAAUUAGUGCUAGAAAGUUCAUGAUAUUGUUAGCCAAUGGUAUUUAGCAUUUCAUUCCAGUAUGCCACAAAUAGACAGUGAUAACAAAGGUGGCAUUGAGUUUCUGAAUUAUCCCUCGCAUUAUUCACGAGCUUGGAGAUUAGGCUGUGUACGACAUUCAUUUUUGCAUUUCAUCAAGAGUACUAACAUGGCUAAGUUCCCAAGUUAAUGCUUUGAUUUUUGGAGUAUAAUCCCUUCCAUAUUGCCGCACAUCCUUAGAAAAGAUGGGGAAUUUAAUAGGGUGGAUGAUUUGGAGGUAGACUUGUUUUCUCCCAAGUUUGGGGAAGUUAGCAAUGAGGUUAAGUUGGCAGUUUGCAAGUUUGUUGUCGACGUAGUCAAUAAAUUAAGGUUUAUAGGAGGUUCGUCAAGUAUGUUUAAGCCUCGUGACACUGGAGGGGGAGUGGGUUUGUCGGCUUGAAUAGGGUGUAAGAGAAUGGGUGUGGUAUGUCUAUGGACUAAAUACAUAAUUGUCUCUAUUAGAGCCUAGAUGAAGAUGGUGAUGAUUGGGUUGGUUAGAUGAGGAGCUAUUGAAGCCCAAGUUUAAGGAGAAUUGCCCCAAUGUUUCAUCGAUUUGGCAAGGAGUUUAAACUAGUGUUAGGGUUUUGAGGGAGCAGUUUUCUAAAAAGCCUAUGGAGCGUGUGCCUAGGCUCAAGGCCUAGGUUUGGCACCUAGCCUUUAACAAAAUAAGGCAUGCCUUUUGUGAAGCUCCUUGCACUUUGGGGAUUUUUCAUUUUUUUUUUAAAACAUAAUAUUUUGGAGGUUUAACUAAAAAAAUCAAAUUUACAAAGUCUUAAUGCAAAAUUACUAACCAUCAUGGAUUGGCCUAGUGGUAAAAAAUCUAUCCCUUGGUAAUCGUCAAUCCCUUAAAACCACCACAUAUAUUCCAUUCUUGGUUAAACCCCUGAACUCCCAUGGCUACAUCAUUUAGUUCCCUUCUAGCUUAUAACUAUGAGAUUCCAUGCAUCUUGCUAUUUGAUCCCACUUUUCACUUACCAACCCAUACUUUAACUUUGAAGAUGAAUGGGAUUCUUGUCAAUAUUGGUUCCUCUCUUAACAAUUCUAUUAGGAUUCUUUUCUUGAAAAUCAGUAAAUCCCUACAAUAAAUGGAGGAACGUGGACAAUACUCUGAGAUAAUAUAUUGAAUGUAAAUCAACAAGAAUUCACAAGGAAAUUAACAAUACAAGAUAUUGCAAGAUAAAACAGAAAAGGAAACAAUAACAAGCUAACAAAGGAAACACAUGUUACUCCAACUCCUUUGAGAAGGCUGGCCUUUUCUUCCAAAAGCUUUUAGCAGCUUUUCACGCAAUUAUGACCUUUUUCGGCAAUCCCCAAACCAUCCUCUUAUAUCCCCUCCCAGGUGGGUCCCUUAACUGGUUCUUACCUCUCCACUAACCGCCCCAAAAGUUGUCUUUUGUGUAAUACCCAUAUUACCUCUACCAACCUUGCUCUUACGCUUAUACGUGUGAAUGAUUGGAGGUCUAACAUUACCGCUCGACUCGAAAUGCACCUUGUCUCUUGUUGGAAUGUAGGAAACUGUUUAUUCAUCAGAUAAACUGAUUCCCUUGUAGCUUCACUGUUGGAUAGUCCCUUCCAAUUUACCAACCAUUCAUUUGCCUCUAAUUCACUAUUCCACCAUACCCGUAACAUAGUUUCAAGCAACAGUUGCAGUUUGAAUUCCUCCAUCAAUGCUAGUGGUAUGUGCUGCACUUGUUGAGUUUGUCCUAACUUAAGUUUUAUUUGAGAUAUAUGGAAAACAUUAUGAAUAACUACCUCAGGAGGUAAAUCCAACCGAUAAGCCACUUCCCCAAUGGUGUAGAUCACCUUGUAAGGUCCCUAAAAUUAAGGGGCCAACUUCUCACUUUGUUUCUGUGCUAAUGAUCUUUGGCAGUAGGGUUCUAGUUUGAAGUAGACUUCAUCCCCAACAUUAAAUUUCAACUCUCUUCGGUGUAAGUCAAUCUGCUUCUUCAUUCUAUCUUGUGCUAGCACCAAAUUUUCUUUCAAGGCAUUGAUAACCGAGUCUCUAUCUUCCAACAACUGUUUCACAUUGCUAUUCAUAGGUUCCCUAUCUCCAUAUGAAAUCAAUGGAGGCGACAAUCUACUAAACACAAUCUGCAAUGGGGUAGUCUUUGAAGAUGGAUGAAAUGUUGUGUUGUACUGGAGUUUCGCCCAAGGUAUACAUUUAUUCCAUUUGGUUGGCUGUUCAUUGCAAACACAUCGGAGAUACGUUUCUAGACAUUGAUUGUCCCUCUCGGCUUGGCCAUCGCUGUGCGGAUGGAAGGCAAUGCUCUUUUUGAGGAUUGUUCCCAUGGUCGAAAACAAUUCCUUCCAAAAAUUACUCAGGAAUAUCUUGUCAUGAUCUGCUAUUGGUAAUUUUGGAAUUCCAUGUUUGCUCACUACUCUCUCAAUAAAGAUCUUUGCUACUUGCUUGGCUGUGAAUGGAUGUCUGAGAGUGAUGAAAUGCGCAAACUUGCGAAGUUUUUCCACAAUAGCAAUGAUAGAAUUAAACACACCCGCUUUUGGCAAACCUUUUAUAAAAUCCAUUGUCCAAUCUUCAAGGAUUAAGUUUAGAAGUGGCAGCGGCUAUAAGAGGUCGAUUGGUGACAGUGAGUUUGUUUUAUUCCUCUGACAAAUCUCACAUUGCUCCACAUACUUCUUUACGCCAUUUUUCAUACCUAUCAAAUGCAAUUCCCUAUUCAUUCUUUUGUAUGUUCGAAGAAAGCUGGAAUGACCUCCCAAUGUGAAACCAUGAAACAUGUGCAACAGGGAUGGUGUUAAAGAUGACGACUUUGAUAAAACUAACCUCCCUUUGUAUAAUAACCGAUUAUUGACCCAUUGAUUGAUUAAGUUUCCCCUUCGGAUUUUCCUUUAAUAUGUUGACUAUUCGUUGCAAUUCCUUUUCCUUCUUGACUUUGUUUAAGACUACCACCAUAUCCACUAUUCAUGGUCGACAAUAUUGAUAUUUCCACCGGAUGAUUCACCCUUGACAGGGCAUCUACGACUUUGUUUUGAAGCCUGAGCUGGUAUAGGAUUUCAAGAUCAUAACCCAACAACUUUGUCAACCAUCUUUGGAAUUGAGGUUGUACUUCCCUUUGCUCAAUGAGGAACUUCAAUGGAUCACUGUAAACUUCCUUCCUAAUAAGUAAUAGCACCAUUUUGGCACUAGUCGUUACCAUGACCAUUAACUCUCUCACAUAUAUUGAUCUUACUUGCACUUGUGGGGAUAAUUUUUUACUAUAUUACGCAAUAGGCUUAGCACUUGCUCUAAUCCAACUCUUGAAGUAUCGAUCUCUAUUAUGGAAGGCAAUGAAAAAUUCAGAAGAGCUAAGACAUGAACAAACAUCAUGACUUGUUUCAGUUGUUUGAAUGCCCUUGGUCGCUUCCUCAUUCCACUUGAACGCAUUUUUCUAUAAGAGUUUGGUAAGUGGUGCUGCAAUAUCCCCAUAUCUCUUUACAAAAUGCGUUUAGUAUCAGUUAAACCCAAACAUCCACGAACUUUGUAACAUCUUUUGGUUGGGGCCAGUUCACCAUUGCUUUAACCUUUUUCCCCUUUGCUUCCACGCCUUUGCUCGAAAUCCAAUGGCCCAAGUAUUGAAUCCUCGAGUGCCCAAUUACACACUUCUUUCUAUUAGUGAACAAUUGGUUGUCCUUAAGAAUGCUGAAAACAACCACACAAUGCUUUUCAUGCUUUGUGAUGUAUGUGUUGUACACCAUGAUUUCAUAAAAAGACAACAAUACAAAGCGUCUCAAGAAUGGUCGAAAAACCUGGUUCAUUAAAGAUCGGAAGGUGGCAUGAGCGUUUGUCAACCAAAUGGCAUAACUAGGAACUUGUAAUGUCCCUCAUGUGUGGGGAAAGCAGUCUUCUCAAUGUCGCCCUUUUCAUUCUGAUGUGAUGAUAACCAGAAUGUAGGUCUAAGUCUAAUUUUGAAACCACAACCACCCCAUGUGUAAUUCAUCAAGUAGUUCUUCGAUCACAUGUAUCAGAAAUUACUGUCACUUGAUUCAAUUUACGGUAAUCAACACAAAACCUCAUACAAUCAACUUCGGGAAGGACUGUUUAGCCGAUUGUUUACUAAUUAGGCUUCCUUCAUACAUUCUUCUGACGUCUUCGGAUGACGGCUCACCAUGUUGAUAGACCACCAAUUAUACACCAGUACAGUUGAAAGAAGAAGAAGCAAGGAAUAACCGCACGUGCCCAAGGAAAAUAGUUUUUAAUAUUGUUAGUAGAUAUUUUCAUAAUAGGGGGAGUAUAAAUAGGAGGUUGUUAAGGAGAGAGAGAGUUAGUUAGAAAGUAUCAUUUGGCUUCAGGCUAUUCCUUGAAAGAUAGGAAAGCAGAAGAGAGUUUUAUAUUUCCGAAUUAAGGAGCUCUCAAUUCGUUUCCCUUGUAUUUUCCUUAUUAUUUCUGCAAUAUUACUAAAGUACUAAAAUAAAUCUUACUUGAUCGAAGAGGAGUUUCAUCAUUUGGUAUCAAAGCACGUCGGUUCUGGGCAGGGGAAGAACAAUGGUUCACACGUGAUCGGAAGAGAGAAUGGAAGCUCACAAUCAGGAAAUGCUGUUGAUAAAAAAAAAAAGUAAAAUUCCGGUGAUCGAAGAAAGUUUAACGACGAUUAGUAUACAAAUGGAAAAGACGCAUCAAAUGUUGAUGAUGCUCAUGGACUAGAUUGCGAAGGAACGAACUACAACCAGUGAGAAAAUGGCCGAAUACAGUGCACAAGAAAUCGGAUUCAAAAAAAAUAAUGAAGGAGAGAGUUCGACAAACAGAAGAGGCGAGAACGAAGUUAAGGAAAAGAAGAAUGAGGAAGGAGCGAAUGAAAGAAACAAAUUCUUGGCUCUUCCGUGCCGAUCGGUAUUUCCAAAUUCACAAACUGAACGAUGCUGAUAAAGUGUUGGUUGCGACCAUCAGUUUUGAAGGCCCAACGCUAAACUGGUACAGGGCACAGGGCACAGGAGGAACGUGAUAAGUUUACGGGAUGGAAAAAUCUAAAAGAGAGAUUGCUUGUGCGAUUUCGAUCGUCAAGAGAAGGAUCCAUCUGCGGGCAAUUUCAAAGAAUUAAGCAACAAACCACGGUGGAGGAAUAUCGUAAUGAGUUCGAUAGAUUAAUGGUACCACUUGCUGAUUUGCAAGAUCGAGUGGUAGAGGAGACAUUUAUGAACGGUUUGUUUCCGUGGAUCAAAGCGGAGGUGGUUUUUUGUAAACCGGUCGGUUUAGCCAAGAUGAUGCACGCGGCUCAACUCGUGGAAAACUGGGAGAUUAUUCGUAGUGAGGUAAAUCUAAAUGGUUAUGCCAAAGGUAAAUAUCCUCCUUCAAACUCUUUAAAUACUAAGAGUAGUGCAGUGGUGAACAACAGUGAUAACAAAGGAAAUACCAUAUUUUCGAUGAGGGCAGUCACCUUAAGAACUACGACUGGAGAAGUUAAGAAAGAAGGACCGAAGAAGAGACUAUCUAAUGUAGAAUUUCAGGCCCGAAAAGAGAAGGGGCUCUGUUUUCGCUGUAAUGAGAAGUAUCAUGAUCAUAGAUGUAAAGGAAGGGAGCAAAGGGAAUUGAGAAUGUAUGUUGUGAAAGAAGACGAAGAAUAUGAAACCGUGGAGGAAGUUGAGGACGAGGAUAAAGAGUUGAACUGCGUUGAGAUAGACCAAGAAGAUCAGGCCAUCGUUGAACUUUCAAUAAACUCAGUGGUGGGAUUGACGAAUCUGGUAACAAUGAAGGUGAGGGGAAGGAUUAAGGAUAGAGAGGUGAUUAUUUUAAUCGACUGUGGAGCGACUCAUAAUUUCAUCUCAGACAAGGUGGUGUAGGAAUUGAGAUUACCCACGAAAGCCACUUCCCAUUAUGGGAUCAUUUUGGGCUCAGGUGCUGCUGUGAAGGGUAAAGGAGUGUGAAGAUAUAGAACUUGAACUGGAGGGAUGGAAGGUGAUAGCGAAAUUCUUACCACUUGAGUUGGGAGGAGUAGAUGGGGUGUUAGGAAUGCAAUGGUUGUAUUCACUGGGAAUGACAGAAGUGGACUGGAAAAUCUUAUCUAUGACGUUUUUUUGUCAGACUAUUGAUUUAGUGGCCUCUCCUAUUUUGUGUUGCCUUAGUUCGAGUUCAUCCACCUCUUUUUGGAAGUAUCCUUUGCUUAAUUGUGGUGUCCUCGUGAUGGUGUUCCCUAGGUUGUUUCAUACGGCUCAUUAUCCUUAUAUUAAGGUGGCUGAUGUAUGGAAUGGUGAUGCAGAAGCUGGGAUUUAUGUCUUCGUCCAAAUCGUAAUGAGCUUGAAAUUUUAGCGUGGGUUCCUCUGUCUCACCUGUUGUUCUCUGUCAGACUUCGUGCUUCUCUUGGUUCAUGGAGGUGGUCUAUCGAUCCAUCCUCAUAUUUUUCUGUGAAAUCUUUUGGAUGACUUGAUGGCCACUGUGGAUCCUCUUGCAAAGGAUCUUUAUUCUGUUAUUUGGACGGAAUUGGGAUCAUUAUCCUAUGAAAAUAAAAAAUUUCUUAUGGGAGUUUAGCUCGAGUGCUAUCAAUACUACUGAUCGUCUAUGUUGCAUACCUUAUCUCUCUCCAUCCUGGUGUGUUAUGGGUUGGAGUCAUUUCGAGUCCUUUGCUUUUUUGUUUAUGCAUUUUUUUGCCUCUUGCUUCUAGCAUAUUAGUUUGGUUGCUUUUGAUUGGUCACUAGCCAACUCUCCAACUCUAAUAGUACUGUUGACAUCUUUGCGUUUCUUUUGGUGGGUCAUUUGUUUAGUACAAAGAAGACUGUUUUCAUAAAAAAAAAGGUACUAAGAAUACUGUUUUGUUGGCCAUAUUACGUGCUUUUUUCUAGACAUUUUAGGGCAAGCCUAAUAAGCAUCUCUUUAGAGAUUUCGCUACUUGUUUAAUAGUUUCAUGGAUUUUGUUCUAUCUACAGAGUUGUAUUGGUGCAAAAUGAAGCCCCUUCGAAUUUUUAUCUUUUUUUUUUAGUUUCCAAUGGGAAAUCCUUUUUGUAAUCACCUAUUGGUGCUUGUGAUCUUCUGUUGUAUCAUUUUUUCAACAAAAUGUUUCUUCUCUUAAAAAAAUCUCCUUCAUUUAGGAUUAAUCCAUACCUGUCUGAGUUGCCUCAAAACUAUGGACAAGCUUCAAAAAAGAUGUCUAUGGAUCAAUCUCCCAAACGUUUCUUGGACGAAUGAGAGAUCUGGGAUGAAAUUUUGGUAUUUGGGGUUUCCUUAAAUGUUUAUUGAUUAAAGAAGUGUUUGAUUUACAACCUUACUUGGAUCUGUCCUUUGAGUUGUACAAUUGUGUCCUUGAGUUCUAAAACAAUAUAGUUUGAUUUGCAUAUAUUGAUAUAUUUAAUAUGAUAUUAUUUGACGAAUUGCACAUGACAUAAUUUUGAUUUGCAUUUAGAUAAAGAAAUCAGGGAUGAAGUUGAAAAGGAUGCAGUUGAUGAAACGGAAUAUUAUGCAUGGAAUGAGUUGAGACUGCAUCCUUUGCUUAUGAAAUCGAUCUACAAACUUGGGUUUAAGGAACCUACAGCAAUCCAGAAAGCGUGUAUUCCAGCUGCUGCUUACCAGGGGAAGGUUGGUUUGUCUGUUUUCUUUGUUACCCUUACGACUUGCUUGACCCUACAACAUUUAGGUGUCAAGGAAACUAGUAAAAAAUUAAUUACUAGAUCUUUGGCCAUCAUGGAUUGAACCUGUGACCUUUUAGUUAGUUAUUGAGACGAUGUCUCUUUUUUUACCAUGCCAACCCAUGAUGGUUGUUAGUUUGUCUUUCUUUUGUUGCAAGGGUGGAAAAAGGAUCAUAUUUUGCCUGCCAUUGAGUUUUGCUUAUGUGACAGGAUGUUGUGGGUGCUGCUGAGACAGGAUCUGGAAAAACACUAGCUUUUGGAUUGCCAAUUCUACAACGAUUCUUGGAUGAACGAGAGAAAUCUGGAAAGAUGUCUGAAGAAAAAGGAGUAGAUGCAAAAAAAUAUGCUCCCAAAAGUCUUCUACGGGCUUUAAUUAUUACUCCUACUAGAGAACUUGCUCUUCAGGUGAUUUCUUUAUGCCCACUCAUGGCUAGAGGCCUAAACAAGUAUGUUUGCAGUGGCUACAGGAGAUAAAACGUGCCAGGAUCAACGAUCUUAGGAUAAGAAAUAUUAGCGUUGGUAGUUAGAUUUUAAGAAAACUUCCUACCUUAAAAUAAUAUUCAAGGUCUCAAAAUGACAUUCUCAUUUCUUGUUUGUUUCUUAUUAAUACUUGCAAUGAUAUUUGGAUUAAUUGGGAUGGGUUCAUAUCCCUUCCUUGGCCUGUUUCGUAUUUGUAUUCUCCUUUCACUUAUGUUUCAUUCCAUUUAUUCAUCACUAAUAACUGAUAAGUUUGUUUCUUAUUAGAAAGAAAAAAACGACCUACUUAAGUUCCUUUUAUGUCAAGAUGUAAUUCUAUUUUAUUCUUGUUUUUUAAGCAUAAAUUUUAAGUCCACAGAUCCAUAAUGACAAAACACAAGCAAAUUAUUAACUGAACUUAUUUUAUUUGGAUUUUUGUAUGUGUUGAAUUUGGGGUUUAACUUCCUCUCCUUGAUCUUUUACUAUCAGGUUACUGAUCAUCUCAAGGCAGUCGCAGUAGGUAUAGAUAUCAGGGUGGUUCCAAUUGUUGGUGGAAUGUCCACUGAAAAGCAGGAAAGGCUUUUAAGGACGAGGCCCGAGGUUGUAGUUGGAACACCAGGACGGUUGUGGGAACUUAUGUCAGGAGGAGAAAAACAUCUUGUAGAGGUGAGCACUUCAUGUAUUGAUUAAACUUGUCCAUGUCUUCAUCCUCCAGUCAUAAAAAUUAAAAAGUCCGAUUUUCGAUUCCUCCUAACCUUUUUUGACUCCAGUCUCCACCAUGUAUUAUCUAAGCUCAUCGAUCAGGAUACUUAUUUUGCAAACACCCUUCAUCAAUACGUGCCUUUACCUCCAUAAUGUUGUGGUUUAUGUUUUCCGUAUUUUGUUUUCCUGUGAAAUUAUCUCAUUUAUUCCCUCUUCUAAUUAGCCUUUAAUAUGAUCAGCAUGGAACUUUUCUUAAGCACUUCUGAGAUGUACCUUGUAAAGUAGGGAGUAGUAGUUGUAAAAGUGCUAAGUUGCCAGAUUUUAUUCUUGGUGAUAUUUAAAUAUCAACUUCAUUCUUUUCCUGUAAUAAAUAGGAUGGUAAUGUUGACGCUCUUCAACUUUUCUGUUUCAGUUGGAGGCAUUGUCUUUCUUUGUGUUGGAUGAGGCUGAUAGGAUGAUAGAAAAUGGACACUUUCGUGAGUUGCAGUCCAUUAUAGAUAUGCUUCCUGUGACCAAUGGUUCUGCAGAAAAUUUACAAAAUGCAGAGAACUCUUUGACCACUCCAAUUUCUCAAAGAAAGAAAAGGCAAACACUUGUGUUUUCUGCUACAUUGUCACUAUCUUCUGAUUUCCGUAAGAAACUAAAGCGUGUAUCAUCCAAACCUAACCAAUCGGGAAUGGAUGGUUUGAAUUCUAUAGAAGCUCUAUCUGAGAGAGCUGGAAUAAGACCUAAUGUUGCUGUUAUAAAUCUGACAAACACAUCAGUUUUGGCAAAUAAUCUUGAAGAAUCAUUUAUAGAGUAUGCACCUUUUCAUCUUAUAUCUAACAUUUUGUAUUUCUUUUGUUUAUUAUUGUUGUUGUUAUUGUUAUUAAACAAUGGGGAGAGAGAAAAAAAAAUUCAAAACAGCAAAUACAUCGAAAAUGUAACUCUUUUGUUAUUUCUAUUGGAUGUUUAAUUUAUAUCAUAUAAUUGCACAAGGAAUAUUCAAUAUGUUUGCCAACUGAGUAUAUGUUUUUGUAUGGACUCUGUAAAUGAUGUAUUGUGAUUGAGGAAGGCCAAUCCCAUUUACAUCUUUUUGUAGUAGGGCAGCUCAAAAUUUUACAUCAUUUCUAAGCUUUUUAACAACAUUGAUUUCCAGUCGAAGUACCUGUACAUGUCCGUACACCUUAUUAGAUUAUGGUCUACAUGACUUGGUUUUUUAUCUUUUAGCUAGUAUUGCAUAAUGUAUGGUACAGCUUUCCUAGUAAUCGACAUCCAUCUCUUAUCUCCUUUUUGUCCACAAGCUACAAUCAGCUGCAUGGGUAGUUGGCGUCCAUGCUUCCUAAUUUUGUUAACAGAUUAUAAUAUGAUUAAUUGGACCUUUUUUGUGCUAACAGAUAUUAUGCGUUUGGUAUGACAUACCAUCAACUAUGCUUGUGCCUGUCUUUUUGUGUUUUCUUUGCAUGAGUAAUCUUUCUCCAGUGUGUUCGAAUCAUUACUAAAUCAUGACCUACUUGCAGAUGCAGGGAAGAAGACAAAGAUGCUUAUUUGUAUUACAUUCUGUCUGUUUAUGGACAAGGCCGCACUAUUGUGUUUUGUACAUCCAUAGCUGCAUUACGGCAUAUUGCUGCUUUAUUAUCCAUUGUUGGCGUUAACGUCUUGACUCUUCAUGCUCAAAGGCAGCAGCGAGCACGCUUGAAGGUUAGCUUACUAUUUAGACAGCUCGUAUCUGUCAUACAGUCCUUUCAUAUGUGGGGGUGCUGAGUUGGGCAAGAACUCAUGCUAUCUUUUCUUUGAAAAGGAUACGAGACUCAUUAUUAUUAAUAUUGAGAAAUAAAGAGAACCCUUAAUGUACAUGAGAGUUAUAUAAAGAGCAAUGGGGGAGGGAGGAUCAGCAGUCGCACUUGGACAUCUCAACUAGGUUGACACCCCCUUAGCGCCCUCAUCACAUCCAAAAAGUGACAAUACAAGAUCAAACAAAAAACCACAAAAACAAAGCCAAACAAAAUGGUAAAAUAAUCUGGCCAAAGCAAAAUCAUAAAUCAUAGGCAGCAAGCCUAGAACAAAGAAGAAUAAGCCUUGAUUGAUUGAUCAAAAAACUGUUUGAAGCAGAGGGCUGAUCCGGAAGUCCUGAUGAUCAAGGACUUAAGGUGGGGAGAUUAUAAAAGCUGGCCAAUUUAACGCAGCAUCCUGCAAAGAGUAAUCCUGAAAAUCUUUGGAUAGAGAACACCAUGAAGAUGCAUUCAAGAGACUAAAAUGAGUUUGUAGCUCUGAUGAAGCACCAUGAAGAUGCUUUUGUUUAUUUCAACCAAUACAUUAUAGUGUGUAGCUCUAAUAGCAUUAGAUCAAAUUACCUUAGUUUUCCUAUUUAAGAAAAAUUGUACUUGUGCAAAAUAAAAGAAGAAAUUUGAUACAACACUGGUGCUUCAUUAGAACUACAAACUCAGAGACUUCCUAUUUUUUUUCACCCCAGGCAAUUGAUCGUUUCCGUGGAAGUCAAAAUGGGAUACUGAUUGCCACUGAUGUUGCGGCUAGAGGCCUCGAUAUUCCCGGUGUUCGAACUGUUGUCCACUAUCAACUACCACAUUCAGCUGAGGUUAGUAAGAUACAGUUUGCCUUGUUUGAACCUUUUCUGUGCAACUGUUACUAAAUGUCUAAUUUGAAAGUAGGUUUAUGUUCAUAGAAGUGGAAGAACAGCCAGAGCUUCUGCCGAUGGUUGCAGUAUCGCGUUGGUCUCAGCCAAUGAAACUUCCAAAUUUGCAUCUCUGUGCAAAUCAUUCUCUAAGGUAGCAAAUCUAUAAUCAUGUAAAAAGCGGUAGCAGAUCUAGAAAGAUUAUUUAUUGUUCCUACCAUGUGGAUUCGCCAUACUAUUGUUUUUGUUUUCUUUUCUCUAUCUGACUUGUGUUUUAAAGAAAUAGUAGCUGCCAAUAUGAGGCUCUUUAACUUGUAUAGUCUUUUUGGAUAUAUCAGCAAUAGCUGCGAUGUCUUUUGAGCAAUCUUCCUUAUACAUGCUUCAUUUGUUUCUGUUCCGAUAGGAAAGCUUCCAGCGAUUUCCUGUUGAUAAUUCAUACAUGCCAGAGGUUCUAAAACGUUUGUCUCUUGCACGCCAGAUUGACAAGAUUGUGCGGAAGGAGUCCCAGGUAAACAUAGGCAUAAUUCCAUGCCUAUAUAUUGCUUACACAUGGAAAUUUGUGUCCUGGAACGGCACUUCCUAGUUCCUUUUUGUGCUCCUGCUAAUUGGUGUAAUUGGCUGUGAUUUGUUUCUGCUUAUUACCAUAGUUCUAAUCCUAGAGUUACACAUGUUCAUUUGGUUUUUUGGUUGUUAUGAGUUUAAAGCUAUGUUGCUGAUUUCUAGGAGAAGGCAAGUAAAACUUGGUUUGAGCGGAAUGCAGAGUUAGUGGAAUUAGUUGUGGACAACGAUGACAGUGAAGAGGAGAGAGCAAACAAUUAUAAGCAGAAGAAAGUUGGCUGCAUCCAGUUAAAGAAACUGCAGCAGGUACUAGCCGCAAUGGCUAAUUUUUGAAAAAAAUUAGGUGAUAUGGUGGCUAUGUUAAAUUCCACUGGUAUUAUCUUCCUUCCUUUUAUAACUUAUUACUAAUUGCAGGAGCUCGACAAGCUGCUUUCCCACCCUCUGCAACCAAAAUCAUUUUCACACCGAUAUUUGGCUGGUGUAAGUACUACUAUUAAUUGUUAGAUGUUCCGUUCAUAAGUUUUCCCCAUUGCUUCUCAUAAAUUUUCUGGAUUAAGGAUUAUCUUUUUGUGAAAUGUUGUAAUAUGAUAAAAUAUUUUGCAUCAAGAGAAAAAGUUCCUCUAUGUAAAGAAAGGAAGUGGGAGAAAGAAAAUAACCGCUGUCUUUGCUAUUCAAACAACAGCUUAUCAUCAAAUAUUUUGAUCAUGAUUUACCCUGCUUUUGUUGGUUUUCUUGAAAUAUCCUUUUCUUUUUACCCGUGCUAAUGUACCUGUUUCCCCAGUCAAUGGGUGCAUGGGUUUGAAUAAUCUCUGGUUUUCAGCUAUUGGUUAUUCAUAGUAAAUUACUAAUUACACAAUGACUGUAUUCCCUCCUUGCUUGUCAGGCUGGGGUUUCACCUCUUCUGCAACAUCAAUUUGAAGAACUGGCCAAGCAGAACACUUCUGUUCAGACUAUGGGAGAUAACAAAAGGAGGAAGUUGGCUGCUUUUGGUCAAGAUCUUACAGAACCACUUCAAGCACUUCGAACUGGUGGUCAACAGGUAUCAAGCACUUUCUACUUUCAUUGAAAAUCAGUUUUCUUGUCUAAAUGGUUUGUAGGGUAAUUGAAUGAUGAAUCAUCCAUUUAGUCAAAAUUUCAACUAUUUAUCUGUAAGACCCCUAGUUAGGAAAGAAUAGGAUUAUUAGUAUGGUUACUAGAAUGGGCAUAUUAGUAGUUUGAUAGUACGUUGGUUAUAAAUAGUAGGAGGGGUGGUGGGGAAAAGUAUGAAGAAUUCUGUAGUGGAAUUUCCUUGAGUGGGAUUUUUUUUUUUUUUUUUUUGAUAAGAAACAAGUGUAUUCAUAUAACAAAAAAGAACAACCUAAGGGCAAGGGACAAGAGGGCCCUUCCCGGAAGAAACUAAGAAACUAAGAAAUGAUAGCCUUUCAAUUGUUGAAAAUCAUUGAAAGGCUAUAAUUACAAAAGUGUUUGGUGUAAUUCGUACUCCACCAAGAAGCUGUGUAUUGCAACACAGUCCAAAAAGAAUCAAAAGAAUUAUAGCUAUCUUCAAAGAUUCUACUAUUCCUUUCUUUUCAAAUACACCACAAAAGGGACCGAGUCGCACAUUUCCAUAAGAUGUUUCUUUUUGGGCUAUAACCUCUAAUGUUGAGUCCUUCAAUCAUUCAGCCAUCAAUCUUACUAGGGAGACAAAGCUCCAAUUCAAAAAUCCUAAACAAAGUGUUCCAAGCUUUUUUAGUAAAGAGACAAGUGUAGAAAUAGAUGGUCCAAAGUUUCCUCUUCUUUGAAGCAGAGACAACACAUCAAGGGACUAAGCAAGGUGUUCUGAACUUUUUUUUUUGUAGCUUCUCAUGAGUGUUAAGGCUUCUGUAAGCGAGCGACCAUAAGAAAAACUUCACCUUCUUUGGAAUUUUAUUCUUCCAAAUAUGACGAAUCAAAGGAACAACAAUGGAGGGGAUCUCUUGGUUAAGUUGAGAAAGGUGGACUUUGUAGUAAAGUUGCCAUUAACGUUAGGAGUUUAUUUAAGACUAUCAUUCCCUUCGGUGGGGGCCCAAGAAUGAAGAAUUUCUAAAACUGAGGCCACAUUGGUAAUCUCGUUAUCGAGCAUAUUUCUUCUAAGGCCCAAAUUCCACGAAUGAGUAGCAGUACACCAACAUUCAGCCGCGUAAAUAUCCUUAUUCAACGACACAGAGAAUAAGUUGGGAAUUUUUUUGCAAGUGGGUUCCGCCAGAGGACCAGCAAGCAAAAACCCAGCCAGACGACCAGCAGAAAACCAAAAACAAUAGUCCAACAGAGAGGAAACCCAACAAGCAAAAAAACAAUAUCUAGAAGAGACCAAUCCAGGAUCCAAUUCAGAACAGCCCAAACAAAACACAGGUGCAGAAGCAGAAAAAAUAUCCAUGCAGAACACAAGCUAGCAACCAACAACCAACCAAAAAUAUAAAGUUGAACAAAUCAAGAAAUCACUACACCCAACCAGCCAUUCUAAAACCAGCACCAACCAACAUUGAGGUGGAGACGGAAAGACGGCGAGACGGAUGAUAGACAUCCGGGAAAACAUCAAAGGUUAGAAAGAUAAGAAGAAUCAUUAUAGAGAGCAUCGUUUGAGGAAAGAAAAAGUGGAGACUCUGUUCAACAGUGGUGGAUGGCUAGAUUCACCAAUGGAAGUUGACAGAUGGGAUUGCCGAGGAAGGAUAAAAUGGAUGGCAAUGAGGAAAAUGGAACUGGAAAACGUAAAGGGCGGUGUACAGAUGGAGAUGGAGACGGUGCUGGCAGCUUAUGGCUCGGAAUGGCAAAGAGGUCAGCAGACGGAGAAAAGACGGUUGAGAUUUGCAAAGGGAGUUGGCAUACAGAGUACGGAGAAGAUGAUUUGCAAAAGAGAAAAAAUUGCGUGAGGAGGGAGAGAUAAGGGCUGCCCACGUGAAAUAGGGGGGUAUUAAUUCAAUUUGGGCUUCGGCCUGAAAUCACUAAAAAGGGUUGAAACCCAUUAUUUUGUGCAGAUGCAAACUGAAGGGGUGGGUUGCAACACGUGAAAAUGGGAAGGAUUGGAAGGAAGAAAAAGGAGGCUGGAGGUGGGAUUAUGGUAUGGAAAAUGUAGCAGCAUGAUUCUGGGCUUGAUUGUGGGCUGGAAUUGUUUAAAGCUCAUUGCUACUUUCAAAGAAGAUAAAGGAGUAUGGGCCCAAAAGAUUGACUUGAUUUUGGAGCAACCAAUGGAUUAUAGGCCUAGCCCAUUUGGGUAGAAUAGCCAAUUUGAAGAACACUUCCAGUGUGGUGGAGAUAGGCUCGUGGAAAUAUUGUGGAGUCCUUGGGUGCUUAUUGGGCUGAAUCCAAGUGAACUGAUUGAAGCUCAAGUGUUCCCAAAGCUGAAGAGGGUGACACUGUGUCAUUGUGUUUUGUAAUCAUACCUUGAGGACAAGGUGUCUUCACGGAGUAUCGUAAGGCCCCUAGUUAUGUUAGAAUAAGAUUAUUAGUAUGGUUAUUAGAAUGGGCAUAUUAGUAAUUUGAUAGUAAGUUGGUUAGGGCUUUUUAGUAAUAAAUAGUAGGAGCGGGGUUGGGGAAAGGUAUGAAGAAUUUUGUACCGGAAUUUUCUUGAGUGGGAAUUCAGGAGAGUCUGGCCAUCUUGAAAGGCUAGGGGUUACUCAUUCUUAUGAUAUUAUAGCUUAUAUUUCAAUAUAUUUUUCAUAUUUGAUUGUUCUUGAGUUGUGUGUUCUUGAGUAUCUCUUGUUAGGUUAGGAUCCUAACAGUAUCCUUCUUUGACAGGUACAUAUGAAUGCAAAAGAGAUGGCUGAAAAACGGAGGAAAAUGGAGAACGUCAAGAAAAAGAAAAAAGAGGAGAAAAAACGUAAGCUACUAAAAUCUUUAUUGAAUGGGACUCUUUUUUCAAAAUUCUUCCUCUCAACUAUCAUAAAAUAUUAAGUAAUGUCAAGAAAUGAGUGGUCAAUUAGAAACCAAAAAUACCAAAACAUUCUAGAUAUCAUAUGCAAGCAGCCUCGUCAAAAAGUACAUUCUUUUAAAAGCAAAACGAGAUGGAAAAUAUAAAGAUAACAGAAACGCUGAGACAUAAAUAAUGUGAUUAUCUUACUAAAACAUAAAAUAUAACCCAUAUUUAUAUUGAAUGGGACUCUUUGGUGGUUUUCGAAUUGUCAUCUUUAUAAUUUCCAGUUCUAAAGAACUGUAGAACGUUGGAAAUCUGCU
rnacentral:lncRNA from 1 species